UACGGAGGGGGGCUAGCGUUGUUCGGAAUUACUGGGCGUAAAGCGUACGUAGGCGGCUUUGUAAGUUAGAGGUGAAAGCCCGGGGCUCAACUCCGGAAUUGCCUUUUAAGACUGCAUCGCUUGAAUCAUGGAGAGGUGAGUGGAAUUCCGAGUGUAGAGGUGAAAUUCGUAGAUAUUCGGAAGAACACCAGUGGCGAAGGCGACUCACUGGACAUGUAUUGACGCUGAGGUACGAAAGCGUGGGGAGCAAACAGG
rnacentral:rRNA from 1 species